AAGACAAAUACAUCUAUACAAGUCUUCAAUUCUAUUUCCUAAUUAAAAACAUAUAUUUUACAAAAAAAAAAUGGGGAAAAUACAUCUUAAAUCUUUUAGAGGGAUAAUAUGGUAACUGAAAUUUCAAACAGUUUUAAAUUUUUUUGAAAACCCCCGAUCCACAGAUAAAAAGUAAGUUGAAAAUCUUCCAAAUAAAUGAAAAUCCUUUUUCAAAGGGUUACAGUCAUGCGACAUCGACAUCACCAUCGCCAUCUCGAACCUUGAUUUUCUGGAACAGUGGACAUUUUCCAGCUUUACCAUUUGAUCAUCGUUCAAGAAGGAGAUCCGACCAAAACCAUCUUCUUACCUGACGGCUCCGAUUACGAGCUCUAUAACCGAAACAACAUCGAUUGGAUCUUAGAUCCUAAACCCAGGAGCGUUUCCUUCAAGACUCCGCUUGUUGUUGCUUCAUUCUCCUCUCCAAGAAAAAAAUACAGAGGACGAAUGCUCUUGGUGAUGGUGUGUAUAGCAACGUCGUUGGUGGGUUGAUGGAGAAGAAUCAUAAUUUGAGGGCAAUUGAGGAACGUGAAAGAAAAUACCGAGUCCACACCUUUUUUCCGAGAACCGAAUCAGGAGAAAACUUCUGAUUGAAUCCAAUUAUUCCGACCGAGUCCAACAAAAUGCACCAAAUCAAACAUACAAACGGAAGGUUGCGGACCGAUUCCAAACUUUUGACCUAGUUAGAAGGCUUAUCAAAUAGACCCUUAAAAUCAAUGAAAUUGAGUGAUCCAUGGUGAAAAUAUGUAAUCUAGGAGCUUAUUUUAGUUUUAUUUAUGUUUAAAUUAAUGAUAAGUAUUUAUAAAAGUCCUUACAUUUUUAUUUCAUA